UACAGAGGGUGCGAGCGUUAAUCGGAAUGACUGGGCGUAAAGGGUGCGUAGGUGGUUUUUUAAGUUAGUUGUGAAAGCCCUGGGCUUAACCUGGGAAUGGCAGCUAAGACUGAUGAACUAGAGUAGGUGAGAGGAGUGUGGAAUUUCCGGUGUAGCGGUGAAAUGCGUAGAGAUCGGAAAGAACACCAGUGGCGAAGGCGGCACUCUGGCACCAUACUGACACUGAGGCACGAAGGCGUGGGGAGCAAACAGG
rnacentral:rRNA from 1 species